rnacentral:misc_RNA from 1 species
CAGAAGUCGCAUUAGGACGCACAGCGUUCAGAGGUGCAGGAAAACGUUGUAAACUCUGAAGUUCUAGUGAAAUACUGUGGUCGUCAACAUCGUUCGUAGUCAGAUUUUUUGACGCCUGAACUGUAGGAUUGGAUUAAUUUGUAACGCUGCUCACUGAACCACAGGAUUCAUGAUGAACAAGUUGGUCUACUGUAACAACUGUUUUGCGCAGCCAUCGAGAACGCUAAUGUUUUACGUCACAACAUGCGCCCAUGUAUACUGCGAGACUUGCAAGGAAGAUUGCACUCGGAACUCGUGCAAGAUGUGCAGUGCAACAUGCACGACUGCUGCCUUGUCUCAAACCAUGAGUCAGGAUGUCCGGGAGCUUUUCAAGGACCCUAAACAGAUUAUACAAAGAGCAAUGAUGAUCACUGAAUUCCAGGUGUCUCAACUCGUCAGGCUAGCGGCGUGCCUGAGACAAGAGGUGAGCACGCUGAAGGCGAGCUAUAAGAAGGCCACCGAGCUGGGGAUCAAGUACAAGCAUCAAACCGAGAGUCUGCGCAAGGAGAACGCCGCCCUCAAGAGCGAGCUGAGCAAGCUGAGAGACCAGCAAAGCACUGGCAUCGACAUCAGCCAGUCCCCACCUUUCCUGACUCGGCCUGACUACCCCGCCCCGCCAGCUUUUGAGCUGCCGACCGCCUCGCAAUCGAGCAACGAGUUCUCGCUGCACACUCCGUUGAAUCGUUCCCAGAGGAAGAAGCACGCCGUCGCAACAGGCUACACCCCAAGCAAGCAAGCUGUGGCCAUGAUGGCUGGCAUGGGCAUAUCCCAGCAGAGAAGCCAGUACGCCUACGAUGAGGAUGGUCAGCACCGUGGCCGCGCUAUCCUCGCAGCAGUCACACCACCCCACCGCUUUUCAACAGCAAACGCUGGCCGCCGCAGGUCGAUUCAAGACUCUGAGUCAUCAAUGAGCAGCUGCUUCCGGACACCGAGCACCGAUUCUUUGUCACGGUAUAACACGAGUAUUCCUGCAAUGGCACCACACGAAAUUGGAGACAAUAUUCCGUUUGCUCACAGAUUCGAAAAGCUUUUUUAACCCAUCGAUAAGGCUGCCGAGAACGCCAUAUGGGUCAACCCAAAGGAAGCAGCUGAAUUUGUCGCCUGCUAGCACUUGCUUUUCAAGGAGUUGAGCAGGUGCAGCUCUCGA